CGGUGCUUGCACCGAGAUUCAACAUGGAACGAGUGGCGGACGGGUGAGUAACACGUGGGUAACCUGCCCUUAAGUGGGGGAUAACAUUUGGAAACAGAUGCUAAUACCGCAUAGAUCCAAGAACCGCAUGGUUCUUGGCUGAAAGAUGGCGUAAGCUAUCGCUUUUGGAUGGACCCGCGGCGUAUUAGCUAGUUGGUGAGGUAAUGGCUCACCAAGGCGAUGAUACGUAGCCGAACUGAGAGGUUGAUCGGCCACAUUGGGACUGAGACACGGCCCAAACUCCUACGGGAGGCAGCAGUAGGGAAUCUUCCACAAUGGACGCAAGUCUGAUGGAGCAACGCCGCGUGAGUGAAGAAGGCUUUCGGGUCGUAAAACUCUGUUGUUGGAGAAGAAUGGUCGGCAGAGUAACUGUUGUCGGCGUGACGGUAUCCAACCAGAAAGCCACGGCUAACUACGUGCCAGCAGCCGCGGUAAUACGUAGGUGGCAAGCGUUAUCCGGAUUUAUUGGGCGUAAAGCGAGCGCAGGCGGUUUUUUAAGUCUGAUGUGAAAGCCCUCGGCUUAACCGAGGAAGCGCAUCGGAAACUGGGAAACUUGAGUGCAGAAGAGGACAGUGGAACUCCAUGUGUAGCGGUGAAAUGCGUAGAUAUAUGGAAGAACACCAGUGGCGAAGGCGGCUGUCUGGUCUGUAACUGACGCUGAGGCUCGAAAGCAUGGGUAGCGAACAGGAUUAGAUACCCUGGUAGUCCAUGCCGUAAACGAUGAAUGCUAGGUGUUGGAGGGUUUCCGCCCUUCAGUGCCGCAGCUAACGCAUUAAGCAUUCCGCCUGGGGGAGUACGACCGCAAGGUUGAAACUCAAAGGAAUUGACGGGGG
rnacentral:rRNA from 1 species